UUGGUGUUUUGUGGCAUAAAAUUAUCAAAUAAAUACUAUUUAAAACAAGUAGUUUUAAUUAAAUACUACUUUACUACUACGGUCAGCUUCGUGCAAAUCAAAAACAACAUAGUCAGCAAAAACCCACACCAAGUCGUUAAACAAUAUGCUUAAGCAUUUGUUUUCUCAUAAAUUGCAAGAAUUAGUUAAAUAAACUGAGAUGUCUACAAAAAGAGGAAUAUAAAAAUAUUCAAUAAUUAAAACAAGCUAAAAGCUACCCGACGUAGUAGUUCCGAAAUUACAUACAAUUAAGCGAAAUCUUUAAAUCGACAUUAGUGUGAGAUGCAAUUUUAGGGAGCAAUUGCUAAUCAAUGCCUGCGACUGCAGGGGUCGUUUAUGCGUCUGUGCGUAUGAAACGUUAUUAAAAAAAGCAAAAUAGAAAUUUUGUUUCGCUAAAAAAUUUUCGACUAAGUUGAAACACAACCUAACCAAAUAAAACACAUGUAUAUACGUAUGUACAUAUGCAACUGGAAUUAAAUAGUAACGAUAUAACAAUAAAACAAAACAGAGAGGUGGGUGUUCGCGUUGGUGCGCUUUCGAGACGGUUGGUUCCCGAUUUGUGUGCUUCAUAAAAAAUAUAAAAAUACCCAACAAUAGAAGGUUGACAUAGUGCACGUUUGGCUGUUAACUGCAUUUUCAGAUAUUUUAAUUAAAUUACAUUUAAUUUCACGAGCAAUAAGCCUUUCCGAAACAACCGUUCAAUAGACCUAAUUCGAUUGCUGUGUUGUUUGUUUUUUUUGUUGUGAAAAAAAUCAAAUUACUAUUUUCUUGCACAAAACAAGAAGAUAUGGAAUUUGGAAAAUUUGGUGUAUUUCAAUAUCUACAUAAUUAAAACUGGUGUUCAUUAAACAACUAUUGUAAAAUCUGCUUGCUGACAAUAAAUGCAAACGAUUCACAGCAGACCAGCGUCACAAAUCUGUCAAACUGAAAUUGCUCAACAAUAUUUUUUUUUGGCAUACACGAUUUUUUUAUAUUUGUGUGAAGUUUUCAUUUCGUAAAUAUUAAGAAAUAUGCGGUUAAAAAUAAUCAGAUAAUUAAUUGGCCGCCACAGUAAUAGCAAAUCAGUGUAAGCGGCAGCAAUUUCACUUGAUCCGAGGAAGAGGAAAAUCAAAAAAAAAAACAACAAACAUCUCCGUAUAUAGCCACAGCUAAAUAACGCUUUGAUAUUCUGCUUAAACCGCACACCAUCCACGUAGAGCUAUAAGGACAGCGCACGGGUGCACCGCAUUUUCUUAAAGAGAGGAACGGCAGCAGAUCAUAACUACACCAGGCAGUGACAGCCUCGUUAGGUUGGAACCCACCGAAGCGACUUACAAACAACAACAACAACAGCAAACUUUAUAAAUAAAUUCAAAGCGUUAACGGACGAAAACAAUAUCCUUUGUCUUAAAACUUUGUGGUAAAAUCGGAGCUUUUCUGUUCUAAAUAUAAAAUCGAACUCAACGCAUGCUACUAACAAGCAACACGCGCCCGCCCUAAGCAAUUGACUUCAUGCAAACCUGUGAAUGUAAUCGACAGCCGUUAAACGAAAAUAACGCAUAAAAAAACAAACGCAAAAAAAAUAUAUGUAUAUCUGUGAGUUUACAACAUUGCGUAAGGAUUCGUGUGGCCUGGAAUAUGAGUAAAUGAGUGCGUGUGCGUGCGUGGGCCUACAAACAUUGUAAUUCAUAAAUGUUAUUCUAGUUCGAUACCAAUCCAAACUCUGCAGUGGUUGUAAUUUACAUUUCACGUGUUUACGUUAAUAGAGAACAAUAGAAUUUGUUUUUUGUUGGAAUCUAUAAACAAGCACUUUUUCUCACACUAACCAAUUGUUUGGUUCGGUGGCUAUUUUGCAUACAUACAUAUUUGCAACUAUUGAAUUUUUUCAACGACAACUCAAAAUCUACUCUUUUGCUGGCGGCUAA